GAUGAAGAACGUAGCGAAAUGCGAUAAGUAAUGUGAAUUGCAGAAUUCAGUGAAUCAUCGAAUCUUUGAACGCACAUUGCGCCCGCCAGUAUUCUGGCGGGCAUGCCUGUCUGAGCGUCAUUUCAACCCUCAUGCCCCUAGGGCGUGGUGUUGGGGAUCGGCCAAAGCCCGCGAGGGACGGCCGGCCCCUAAAUCUAGUGGCGGACCCGUCGUGGCCUCCUCUGCGAAGUAGUGAUAUUCCGCAUCGGAGAGCGAUGAGCCCCUGCCGUUAAACCCCCAACUUUCCAAGGUUGACCUCAGAUCUGGUAGGAAUACCCGCUGAACUUAAGCAUAUCAAUAAGCGGAGGA
rnacentral:misc_RNA from 1 species